rnacentral:rRNA from 1 species
AUUGAACGCUGGCGGCAGGCCUAACACAUGCAAGUCGAACGGAGUGGCGGACGGGUGUGUAAUGUCUGGGAAACUGCCUGAUGGGGGGGGAUAACUACUGGAAACGGUAGCUAAUACCCCAUACUAUCAGAUGAGCCUAGGUCGGGUUAGCUAGUUGUUGGGGUAAAGGCCUACAAAGGCGAAGAUCCGUAACUGGUCUGAGAGGAUGAUCGGUCACACUGGAACUGAGACACGGUCCAGACUCCUACGGGAGGAAGCAGUGGGGAUUAUUGGACAAGGGGCGAAAGCCUGAUCCAGCCCUGCCGCGUGUUUGAAGAAGGUCUUCGGAUUGUAAAGCACUUUAAUUUGGGAGGCGUUACCAACAGAAUAAGCACCGGCUAACUUCGUGCCAGCAGCCGCGGUAAUAC